rnacentral:rRNA from 1 species
CAGUCGCCGCGGGAAUACAGAGGGUGCAAGCGUUAAUCGGAAUUACUGGGCGUAAAGCGCGCGUAGGUGGUUUGUUAAGUUGGAUGUGAAAUCCCCGGGCUCAACCUGGGAACUGCAUCCAAAACUGGCAAGCUAGAGUAUGGUAGAGGGUGGUGGAAUUUCCUGUGUAGCGGUGAAAUGCGUAGAUAUAGGAAGGAACACCAGUGGCGAAGGCGACCACCUGGACUGAUACUGACACUGAGGUGCGAAAGCGUGGGGAGCAAACAGGAUUAGAUACCCGAGUAGUCCCUGUCUCUUAUAU